CACGGGGGGAGCAAGCGUUGUUCGGAUUCAUUGGGCGUAAAGGGCUCGUAGGUGGCUUUGUAAGUCGGAGGUGAAAUCCCACGGCUCAACCGUGGACACGCCUUCGAAACUGUGAAGCUUGAGGCUGGGAGAGGAGAUCGGAAUUCCUGGUGUAGCGGUGAAAUGCGUAGAUAUCAGGAGGAACACCUGCGGCGAAGGCGGGUUGCUGGGCCGACACUGACGCUGAUGCGCGAAAGCCAGGGGAGCGAACGGG
rnacentral:rRNA from 1 species